GGAAAUGUCAGUUGCAUGAGUCUGUACCAAACAUUGUCAGUGUUCCAGCCAUGCUGGUAAAUGUUUAACAAUGAGCUCUCAAAAAGAAAACCCCGAAUUAUGGCACUUGCCAAUUUCCAUGGUGUAAAUACUCCCACAUGGCUGACAUCAAACUAAAUUAAUGGUUGUCUCCACACAUGUAGCUGGGAAGCAAUGCUCACACCCCAGAGGGAGCUGGCCCCGAACACCCCCCUGUGCCCUCUUGCCUGACCCGGUUUGGACACCAGCUGCCUGGCGGCCAGUGCUGGGGCGUUUUGUCCGGUGCUGCCCUCAGAAGGCACUCUGCCUGAGAGUACGCAAAGCCAGCAGUGCCUGGGAGUUUACAGCCCCCAGGGGGAUCUUGUGGGUACAAAUACUGCAACUGUUGGCUCUGAUUGGCUGGCUCUGGGAUGUGACUUCCUCCCUAGAGGCUGAGCCAAAGGCAUCUUCAGCUGACUUUGCUUGAAGCCUCACCUUGGCUUGGCUUCCUGCCUUUUUUCCUCUCAGUUCCUCUUCCACCUGUCUUUGCAGAUAACUUUCCUGGUAACUUCCUUUCACACGCAACCUUGUCUCAGGGUCUACUUCUAGGGAACCCACGUAAGGCUGCAUCUCUAGAUAUCUUUUUCCCUUAAAUGCCCUGGGGUUUGGGAGAGUUUCCCACUCAAUAAUACUCAGUAAGCUUUCCCAUUAACCCCGCUAUAAGCUUUUCUUGGUUUCCUCUGUGUCUGUGCCCCAAGGUGUGUCUGUCGUGGGGGGAUGAGUCAUGGAGCAAAGUCCUCCCCACUGACUCAGCAAUGCCAUUUCCUGCCCACAACCUUCUAGAACUCUUGCACUUUGACACAAUGGGGACCAGCCCACCCCUGAUUCACCAGCUCAGUUUUCUGUCACAUCCUGUACUUUCCCUGAGGAUUUUUCUGUUCUCCUUCUGACCAGAGUCAACGCCAACCAACCCACAAGCAGCAGAGAACAGAAACGUGGCCAGAUGGUCUCCAAUACGGAUCAAAAACAUAAAGAGGCAAACGUGGAGGGGCGGAAGGUCCUUGGCCCUUUUCUCUUGAAAUUGAGUUCGCUGUGUUGAAAUGUCCAUCGUGUCUGCAUCCCCUUCCUGGUUUUCCCCAAAGAGGCCGUGGCGGGGGAACAGGUGGCGUUCCAUGUGGUGGCAACAUGAAGGGAUCACUCGCCAGCGAGCAUAAUCGCUCUGGAAACAUUCGGAAUACUCAUAUGUUCUGUACUUUUCCCCUGAGUCAAUAAGGUAGAAAUGCAUCAGGAGAAAGUCAAAGGUUUCUGUCAAAAUCCAGACCACAGGGAGAAAAUGACGAGUUGAUGGGGCUCACCCUGUGAUCAAUUUCUCCGUGAACCUGACAGGGAAGUCUUCUUAGAGGGCACCUCAGCGUCUGAAGUUGGCUUUCACAAUGAGCAGAAGGUGAAAAGCUGCCAAACAACAGCCACUUUCAAAAUCCAGUGAAAACAGAACUAAGCCAACAAAGGAAUAACAAGGUCCCAGGUUGCAAAACAAAACAAGUUGGGAAAACUUGUCCAAGAGCUGUACUGAACUCUUGCAUGGGCGCUGACGUACACAAAUCAUCCUCAUCACCUCUGAAACGAGGCAGCUCUAAAUUACUUCUUGAAUUCCAUAUGGUUAAUCUGCAGGCACAGGAACAUGCUUUAGGGUGAAAUUUAGUUGUUGUUGUUUUCACUGGGCUUGCAAUAACAUAUUGUAAAUGACUAAGGCUAGAUGACACUUUCACACCAGUCUUGAAAUCAUCCCAGUGAUCUUGACCCAAUGCCAGAUGAGGAUCUUGGUGCAGAUAAAGCGACUGUGCUUCUUCUUCCUGCAGAAUUAACAUUAACAAUCCUGCACAUUAACAAUCUAGAACUAUGUUAGCCAGGGUAUUUGAGGCAGAAUUCUGAACUGAAAUUGGUCGUCUCCUAGCACAAUGAUUUUUAAAUACAAAACAAGCAAACACACAAAAAGAAAAAAAGAAACAACAAGAAAUUUUAAAAUGUCGUAUCUAUCUUAUGAAAGCCAAAAUGAAAGAUUGGCAACCUUUCCUGAAUAUGGGCAUUGUCCACAUCUAAUCUAGAUGAUGUGGGUCCAGUUUUCUCUUUCUUCAAUCAUCUGAUGUUUUUACAUUCAAAUUGGUAGGAAAAGGAUGCUUUCCAGUUUAAUUUUCUUUAAAAUAAUUUCGCAGAUUUCUGAAUCCAUAUGCAAUUUUUAAGAGCACAGACUUUGGACUCAAAAAUGAGUUUAAAUUCUCAGUCUGCCACUUACAAGAUGAGUAAGGUGAAAAACCCCUUCACCUCUGUAAGCCUCAGGUGAGUAUCUUAUAAGGUUGCUGGAGAGGUUACGAGACACAAGGCAUAGAAAAGGGCUUCCUGUGUUAUAGUCUGCCCAUAGAGCAAGCACGUCUUUCUUUCUUUCUUUUCUUUCUUUCUUUUCUUCCUUCUUUCUUUUUUUUUUUUUUCAUUGAGAUAGGGCCUCACUCUGUCACCCAGGCUGCAGUGGAAUGGUGCCAUCUCGGCUCACUGCAACCUCCACCUCCUGGGUUCAAGCCAUUCUCAUGCCUGCCUUCUGAGUAGCUAGGAUUACAGGCACCUGCCACCAUGCCUGGCUAAGGUUUGUAUUUUUAGCAGAGAUGGGGUUUCAACAUGUUGACCAGGCUGGCCUUGAACUCCUGACCUCAGGUGAUCUGCCCACCUCAGCCUCCCAAACUGCUGGGGUGACAGGUGUGAGCCAACGUGCCUGGCCCAAUUAUGAUUAUUUCUGUUUUCUUAGUUUGUCCCUUACUUGAAACAGAUUAGUUAUUUACAACAUGGAGUUUGUGUCUCUGUAACUUUGUAAUCAUGCAAAAUAAUUGUACAUGAUCCACAUAUACACACACACACCACACACACACACAUAUCCUUAGAAGAAUAAUUUUCUCCAAAUUGAACUGUAAGGGUCUGUGUGAUUUGGGCAGAGAUAGUCGCUGCUGCUUUCCCAGCUAAUAAAGUUGUCCGAAUCUGUUUACUCUCAAAUUUAUAGAAAGAGCUUCAUUAGCAGCCUCCACGGAUGACACAGCCACCACAUGGCACGCAGAGUUAGUCUGAGGAUAAAUCUUGGUUUGCCCAGUUUUGCAGAGUGAUUCGUUUUUAAUGAAUUAUGCACACAGAUCAUAGGCUCUGCUCAAAGCCUCAUUUACUCUGGAAAUUCCUGAAAUUACUAUUCAUUUUGCUGAGUUCUUUUUUUACCCUCUUGAAAGCUCACAAAAACCCUCUGAAAAAGAAAAGCAUCAGCAUACAUAUUGUUGUAGAUUAGAAAACACAAAUGAUUUGAUAGAAAGCAGGUUUGGGGUGAAAUAAUCAUAAUAGUGAAUCAGCUCUCUGACUUUUUUUGAUGCUAUGGAAACCCUGGCAGUGAAGAAACUUUGAUUAAAUAGAUUCACAAUAGAUUCAAGCGUACUCAAGGGCUGGGGUCUUAACAUCUCUGGAGUGGCUCACAGUGCUGAGCACAUGGCAGACGCCCAAUCAAUUCGUGCAAACAAAUGAACAGAAUCAGAUUUCCAAGGAGUUCUUCAGGAAGUCAAGUAAUGCAUUGACCCUUUCCUUCAGCAUUACAUCCACGGAGCCUGCCUGUCUAAAUGAUUCAGAUCCGCUCUGCAACUCUAUGCAGGAGAAACACAUUUUCCUUUUCUGGUGGAUCAGACAACAGCAGGACUUCUGGAUUAUGUCUUCUGCAUAGGUUGCAGCAGGGAAACAUAGCAUUACGCGUGUAGACAGGGCAGGUUUAAUGCUAGGCAACGUUCUUAAGGGAGAUCAGAAAAGCAACUAGCAUGCCAGGUCUACUGUCCCGGCCCCCAAGGCUCAGCACAGAUAUUUGGAAAACCAGGAGUUGAGCAUUUGACUGGAAAAUAAAAACAACAUAGACUCGUGCAUUUGAUCAGUGAACUUGGAGCGCACACCAUGGAUUAGGCACAGCUGGGCACCGAGGAGACAUCACCUGGCUUAUAAGUCAUCUGUGCCCUCUGGGGACUGACAGUCCAGCUGGGAAUGAGGAUCAGGAGGUCAGAAAUUAAGUAAAGAGCAAAGAAGAAUGCAACAUGAGUAAACGCAAAAAUAAAAAAUAAAAACAAACAAAACAAGUUGGCCCUGACCAUCAGGCAGUAUGGUAUGGAGAAGACCACGGGCUUGUGUCUAUCAGUCAGACCUGCUUUGAGUCUUGGCUCCACCAUAAACCAGAUGAGUUAAGUUUCAUACCCUCUCUAAACGGUCGCCUCAGCUAUACAACAGGCUCAAUGAUAUUCACCCCACAAGAUUGCUAUAAGAAGGAAAUGGUAUGACCUUGGGGCAAGAAGAGGUACCAUUGUCCCCACUGUCCACAGAUGGUGACAUUUGUUCAGGACAACCUGGCCAUUAAGGAGGAGAACUCUAUGAGAACAAGGUCUGCGUCCCUAGAUGGCAUUCAUACAGAUGACCAGCGCAUGAUGUGACAAAACCAUCCUCUGGUAAAAGAUCCAUUUAGAGUGCAGAUGGGCCAGCGAAUUCUAAUGAAAGAGAAGAUGAAGUGUUCAUUGAUGUGGUUUCAGAUUUCCACAUUGCCGCUCACCUUUAAGAAACUGCCACUUGUUGAGUUUUGGUCUAGUAUCAAGAAGAACAGCCACAAUUAUCUGGAAAAGUCUAUCACAAUACUCAUCCCUUUGCCAAUUACAUAUCUGCAUGAGCUUGAUUUUCUUCAUGUACAUCAAUCAAAAUCUAUUGCAACAGACUGAAGUCAGAGGCAAGUACGGAAAUUCAGCCCUCCUAAAAGCACAUCUACCAUUCAAUCCAGCAAUCCCACUACUGGGUAUCCACCCAAAGGAAAAUAAGUCAUUAUAUGAAAAGGAUACCUGCACACAUAUGUUUAUAGCAGCACAAUUCACAAUUGCAAGCAUGUGAAACCAACCUAAGUGCCCACUGACUAAUCAGUGGAUAAAGAAACUGUGGUAUAUGUACACCGUGGAAUACUACUCAGCCACUAAAAGGAACCAAAGGCCACGUGAGGUGGCUCAGGUCUGUAAUCCCAGCACUUUGGAAGGCUGAGGCGGGUGGAUCACCUGAGGUCAGGAGUUCAAGACCAGCCUGGCCACAUGGUGAUACCCAGUGUCUACCAAAAAUACAAAAAAUUAGCUGGGUGUGGUGGCGGGUGCCUGUAAUCCCAGCUACUCAGGAGGCUGAGGCAGGAGAAUCACUUGAACCUGGGAGGGGGAGGUUGCAGUGAGCCGAGAUCACACCAUUGCACUCCAGCCUGGGCAACAGGAGCGAAACUCCAUCUCAAAAAAUAAAUAAAUAAAUAAAUAAAUAAAUAAAUAAAUAAAUAAGAGGAACGAAAUAAUGUCUUUUGCGGCAACUUACAUGGAGGAUGGAGCUGGAGGCCAUUAUUCUAAGUGAAGUAAUUCAGGAGUAGAAAACCAAGACCAAUGUGUUCUCACUUAUAAAGAGAGCUGAACUAUGAGUAUGCAAAGGCAUAUAGAGCGAUAUAAUGGACUUUGGAGGCUCAGAAGUGAGAGAGCAGGAGGCAGGCUAGGGAUAAAAAGACUGCACAUUAAAUACGAUGUACACGGCUUGGGUGACUGGUGCAGUAAAUCCUCAGAAUUCAUCCCUGUAUAAUACAUUUGUGUAAUGAAAAACCGUACCCCAAAAGCUGUUGAAAAGAUUUUUUUUAAUUAAGCUAUUCUCUAUUAAACCUGACAUUAAAGAGAUUUGCAAAAAUGUAAAAUAAUAUUACUCUUCUCACUGAUUUUUUUAUUUUGGAUC
rnacentral:lncRNA from 1 species